AUUGAACGCUGGCGGCAUGCCUUACACAUGCAAGUCGAACGACGCCAGGGGGCAACUCCUGGCGAGUGGCGAACGGGUGAGUAAUACAUCGGAACGUGUCCUGUCGUGGGGGAUAACCAGUCGAAAGACUGGCUAAUACCGCAUGAGAUCGAGAGAUGAAAGCGGGGGACCCGCAAGGGCCUCGCGCGACUCGAGCGGCCGAUGUCGGAUUAGCUAGUUGGCGGGGUAAUGGCCCACCAAGGCGACGGUCCGUAGCUGGUUUGAGAGAACGACCAGCCACACUGAGACUGAGACACGGCCCAGACUCCUACGGGAGGCAGCAGUGGGGAAUUUUGGACAAUGGGCGCAAGCCUGAUCCAGCCAUGCCGCGUGUGUGAAGAAGGCCUUCGGGUUGUAAAGCACUUUCGGACGGAACGAAAUCGCGCGGGUGAACAAUCCGCGUGGAUGACGGUACCGCAAGAAGAAGCACCGGCUAACUACGUGCCAGCCGCCGCCGUAA
rnacentral:rRNA from 1 species